rnacentral:misc_RNA from 1 species
CAUUAAUACUUUUGAAGCAAUUUGUAUAGAAAAUAAACCAAGUUUAAUUCAAAAUCUAAUUUAAAGGAAGAAGACUUAUCCAAGUCCAUAUUUACGGAACUACAUUCUCCUUUAUGAUCAGAUAUUGAAGCAGACAACGACAUUGGUUUAGAAUAAAAAUGGAGUUAAAUCCAAUUCAUUUUUUCUGCAUAAUUAGUUGAAAAUAUAGACUCCAAGAAGAGGAUAAAUACAUAAAAGCUAAAAUUUUGUCAUAACAAAGAUAGCGGCCAUGGCUUCAUGAAUCUGUCCAAAGCAACAGUGGAUUAAGAUACAAAGGAUUAAGAUGCAGAUCAAACCAGACAACGCAAAGUCACUUUCAACUAUAAAACAAGGUCUUCUCUUCAUUCCUCCUUCAACCUCCCCUUUAUCCGUUGUACGGUAACCCCAGCUUGAGGGACGUAUCUGAGCUUUCAUAGUCGUGUGGAGGACCAUUUGAGUUGCAGACAUUGGUUACAGACUCCGACGACUGCCCUUCCUCAUAAACCAAAUUCUCUGAAUCAGCAGCAGCCUGCUUUCGGCCAUUAGAUAUCUCCACCACUUGUUGUCGAAGUCGUUCAUUCUCUUCCAUUAAUUGCAUCCCCUACUUGUUUCAGAAGUAAAUUGAGAUGACAAAUAAGAUUAAUAAAUAAAGGUUUAUGUGAAGAAAUGUUACGAACUGAGAAAUCAAAAUGUUAGCACCGACAACCAGUGGAACGAGCUAAAAAGCUGUCACCACCUAACAGUGGACUACUUAACCACUGCAAAAAAGCAAACAACCGAAUAAACCCCACCAUACUAAAACGGACGUCAAAACAGUUUGAGAGAACUACAAAUCUGCAUAACAGAAUUGCGAAACAUAACAGAAACUAUUCUUAUGCAAAUACAAAUCUUUUUGCCUAAAUUAUAGAAAACUUGCGACUCAAGUAAUUGUAUGAAAGCAUCCUUUGAGAAUUUAGUUAAACACAUAGCAUUUUUGUUGUUAGAUUUGCACGGAUAAGUUACACAUAGAUAUAAAUCUAUGCAAAACAUAAACAUAAUCAUUUUCAUAUCAAACAAUGAACACUGGAGCAAUGCAUAUAGAAGUUUAUAGUUAUGCCCUUCUUAGACAAACACUGCAUGCAGAAAUGAUACCAAAGGAAUUCAUGUAAAAAUAUUAUGAAGUCCAAGAACUGACCUUUGUUUGAAGUUCCCUGAUUUCUUUUAUAAUUUUCUCUCCCUUCUUUUCAAUCACACGGCUUAAGCCAGCUUCAAGAGACUUUUCUAGUUGCUGCAACUCUUCUAUAUUUAAUCCUUGGAGCUCUUCUCCCCUCAUUUGUCUCAGUUGAUGGCUUUUCUCUGCAAUCUCCUUGCUCAACCUGGAGUGGUUGCUGUCCUCUACCAACUAAUACAAAUAUUUUCACUCUUAGCAUGCAAAGAUAAAGAAAAAAGAAGAAAAAUGCAAAAUGGUGCAAUCAGCAAAUAUAUAGGAAUUAUUUCCUUAUCACUAACAUAAAACAAAAUAUGAAGUAAAUUCCACCCCAAAAAAAAAAACCACAAGAACUGGGAAUGCUGGAAAGAACUUGCAUGAAUAAAUUAAACUUGAAUAUUAGAAUGUAAAUCUGUGUUUGCUAAGUUGAAAUAGCGAAAAAAUUUAGACAAUAUAACUUGUGAGUUAUGACCCAUACAACGAUAGAUUGCUUGAGAUGCUACUCCUUUCCUGCUCAACAAAAAUGUAAAGCAUAGCCAUAAAACAAUUUCAAAAAAUUAAUUACAUUUGCAUCUGCAAUAAUUUACGAUAUGCAAAGAUAAAUAAAAGAUUAUCUACAAAAAGAGAAUACAAGCCAACCUGCAACUCUAGAGAUGGUUGUUCUAGCUUCUCAAGAUUCUUCGAGUGCAAGUCAUGCUUUUCUAGUAUUUCCUUCAUGCUUCAGAAGAAAACCAAAGAAAAGAAAAAAAAAAUCACAAAUUAAUUUCAAAGAAUCCAUCCAGAAUUGCAAAACUUGAACUGAUUUUGAAUCCUCACUCUAGCAAACAAUGGAAUGAAAGAUCCAUCGUAUCUUAAAAUCAUACAGGAAAGAAAGAAGGGAUGAUAUUUGUCUGAUUCAUUUAGCCAUCCAAAAACAUGAAAAGGAAAUUUCACAAUAAAACUCAAUGCUAUAAGCUCCAAAAAAAACCUAAAAAUAAAAUUCCAAACUAUAGUUAAUUUCCAUUUCAAGUGAAUGACUAAAUACAGUAUUUGUUCACGUCAAAGGUGAGGAUUCAAGAUUCACAUAAAUCAAAUGAAGACAAUGAAUACUAUACGUUUAAAUAAUCAAAUAAAAUCCGAGUUGUCCAACUAGAAAGGGGAUAAUGAGAUUCUAACGUAUUUCUUUGGAAUAGCACAAAAACUGAAAAGUUCAGUGACACGCAGCAUGGAGCCGCAGAUGGUGCUAGGUUAUGAAGCAUUCCCUAAAUAAUAAAAUAGAUUAUCAAUGAUGAGAGCAUUAUCACAAGCAUUAUCACAAACACAUCAAAACCUGCUCCAAGUUGGGAAUCUCAUAAUUGAAAAUUGACAACAACUUGGUCGCUAGAGCUAAGCCAAAAGGAAAAGAUGAUAAUCAACCAGACAUUUAAUGAAAAGAUUGUAGAAGAUGUUUACAAAUCACAAACCAAAUUAGUAAUUUAUAUUUUAUAAAUGCCUAAUUUUUGCCUGGAAAUGUCGAACUGUAUUAGAGGAUGGAUAGUUGAAAUCUUGAAACAUAAUAAACCGAACAGUUUCAUAACAUCAGAGUCAUUGAUAUCUGUAAGUAAAUAAACUCCCUGCCUUAAAAGGAAAGAAUGUGAUGAUUGCACAGUUUAAAAGAUGUGCACCUUCUAUGAGUUUCUAUACCUGCUUCCACCUUCAAAGAUGGAAAAGAGAAGGGCUGAAUUUCAUAUUUCUUUCCAAUUCAAGAUCAAAUAAAAAAAUAACACAUAUUCCUACCAUAGCAGUUGACAUCCAUUUUCCCAGCCUCCUUUCUUUCU